GGGUUGUGAGGUUAAGCGACUAAGCGUACACGGUGGAUGCCCCGGCAGUCAGAGGCGAUGAAGGACGUGCUAAUCUGCGAUAAGCGUCGGUAAGGUGAUAUGAACCGUUAUAACCGGCGAUUUCCGAAUGGGGAAACCCAGUGUGUUUCGACACACUAUCAUUAACUGAAUCCAUAGGUUAAUGAGGCGAACCGGGGAACUGAAACAUCUAAGUACCCCGAGGAAAAGAAAUCAACCGAGAUUCCCCAGUAGCGGCGAGCGAACGGGGAGCAGCCCAGAGCCUGAAUCAGUGUGUGUGUUAGUGGAAGCGUCUGGAAAGGCGCGCGAUACAGGGUGACAGCCCCGUACACAAAAAUGCACAUGCUGUGAGCUCGAUGAGUAGGGCGGGACACGUGGUAUCCUGUCUGAAUAUGGGGGGACCAUCCUCCAAGGCUAAAUACUCCUGACUGACCGAUAGUGAACCAGUACCGUGAGGGAAAGGCGAAAAGAACCCCGGCGAGGGGAGUGAAAAAGAACCUGAAACCGUGUACGUACAAGCAGUGGGAGCACGCUUAGGCGUGUGACUGCGUACCUUUUGUAUAAUGGGUCAGCGACUUAUAUUCUGUAGCAAGGUUAACCGAAUAGGGGAGCCGAAGGGAAACCGAGUCUUAACUGGGCGUUAAGUUGCAGGGUAUAGACCCGAAACCCGGUGAUCUAGCCAUGGGCAGGUUGAAGGUUGGGUAACACUAACUGGAGGACCGAACCGACUAAUGUUGAAAAAUUAGCGGAUGACUUGUGGCUGGGGGUGAAAGGCCAAUCAAACCGGGAGAUAGCUGGUUCUCCCCGAAAGCUAUUUAGGUAGCGCCUCGUGAAUUCAUCUCCGGGGGUAGAGCACUGUUUCGGCAAGGGGGUCAUCCCGACUUACCAACCCGAUGCAAACUGCGAAUACCGGAGAAUGUUAUCACGGGAGACACACGGCGGGUGCUAACGUCCGUCGUGAAGAGGGAAACAACCCAGACCGCCAGCUAAGGUCCCAAAGUCAUGGUUAAGUGGGAAACGAUGUGGGAAGGCCCAGACAGCCAGGAUGUUGGCUUAGAAGCAGCCAUCAUUUAAAGAAAGCGUAAUAGCUCACUGGUCGAGUCGGCCUGCGCGGAAGAUGUAACGGGGCUAAACCAUGCACCGAAGCUGCGGCAGCGACGCUGAUGCGUUGUUGGGUAGGGGAGCGUUCUGUAAGCCUGCGAAGGUGUGCUGUGAGGCAUGCUGGAGGUAUCAGAAGUGCGAAUGCUGACAUAAGUAACGAUAAAGCGGGUGAAAAGCCCGCUCGCCGGAAGACCAAGGGUUCCUGUCCAACGUUAAUCGGGGCAGGGUGAGUCGACCCCUAAGGCGAGGCCGAAAGGCGUAGUCGAUGGGAAACAGGUUAAUAUUCCUGUACUUGGUGUUACUGCGAAGGGGGGACGGAGAAGGCUAUGUUGGCCGGGCGACGGUUGUCCCGGUUUAAGCGUGUAGGCUGGUUUUCCAGGCAAAUCCGGAAAAUCAAGGCUGAGGCGUGAUGACGAGGCACUACGGUGCUGAAGCAACAAAUGCCCUGCUUCCAGGAAAAGCCUCUAAGCAUCAGGUAACAUCAAAUCGUACCCCAAACCGACACAGGUGGUCAGGUAGAGAAUACCAAGGCGCUUGAGAGAACUCGGGUGAAGGAACUAGGCAAAAUGGUGCCGUAACUUCGGGAGAAGGCACGCUGAUAUGUAGGUGAGGUCCCUCGCGGAUGGAGCUGAAAUCAGUCGAAGAUACCAGCUGGCUGCAACUGUUUAUUAAAAACACAGCACUGUGCAAACACGAAAGUGGACGUAUACGGUGUGACGCCUGCCCGGUGCCGGAAGGUUAAUUGAUGGGGUUAGCGCAAGCGAAGCUCUUGAUCGAAGCCCCGGUAAACGGCGGCCGUAACUAUAACGGUCCUAAGGUAGCGAAAUUCCUUGUCGGGUAAGUUCCGACCUGCACGAAUGGCGUAAUGAUGGCGGGCUGUCUCCACCCGAGACUCAGUGAAAUUGAACUCGCUGUGAAGAUGCAGUGUACCCGCGGCAAGACGGAAAGACCCCGUGAACCUUUACUAUAGCUUGACACUGAACAUUGAGCCUUGAUGUGUAGGAUAGGUGGGAGGCUUAGAAGUGUGGACGCCAGUCUGCAUGGAGCCGACCUUGAAAUACCACCCUUUAAUGUUUGAUGUUCUAACGUUGACCCGUAAUCCGGGUUGCGGACAGUGUCUGGUGGGUAGUUUGACUGGGGCGGUCUCCUCCUAAAGAGUAACGGAGGAGCACGAAGGUUGGCUAAUCCCGGUCGGACAUCAGGAGGUUAGUGCAAUGGCAUAAGCCAGCUUGACUGCGAGCGUGACGGCGCGAGCAGGUGCGAAAGCAGGUCAUAGUGAUCCGGUGGUUCUGAAUGGAAGGGCCAUCGCUCAACGGAUAAAAGGUACUCCGGGGAUAACAGGCUGAUACCGCCCAAGAGUUCAUAUCGACGGCGGUGUUUGGCACCUCGAUGUCGGCUCAUCACAUCCUGGGGCUGAAGUAGGUCCCAAGGGUAUGGCUGUUCGCCAUUUAAAGUGGUACGCGAGCUGGGUUUAGAACGUCGUGAGACAGUUCGGUCCCCUAUCUGCCGUGGGCGCUGGAGAACUGAGGGGGGCUGCUCCUAGUACGAGAGGACCGGAGUGGACGCAUCACUGGUGUUCGGGUUGUCAUGCCAAUGGCACUGCCCGGUAGCUAAAUGCGGAAGAGAUAAGUGCUGAAAGCAUCUAAGCACGAAACUUGCCCCGAGAUGAGUUCUCCCUGACUCCUUGAGAGUCCUGAAGGAACGUUGAAGACGACGACGUUGAUAGGCCGGGUGUGUAAGCGCAGCGAUGCGUUGAGCUAACCGGUACUAAUGAACCGUGAGGCUUAACCUUACAACGCCGAAGGUGUUU
rnacentral:rRNA from 1 species